rnacentral:lncRNA from 1 species
GGUUUUGUGCCCAGGACUCACACGUAAAAGGAGCUCAUUCGGAGGCAGGGGCACGCGCUUGUCCCCAGAACUCAAACCCCAGAGUCCCUCCGAACCCCUGCCAAUCUGAGGACGGGGCCACCCCACAGACGCCGUGGCUCAGCAAGCAGACCAAUGGCCGAGGAGUCUGGCAAGGGGCGCUUGGCAGAUGAGAGUGGAGGUUGUAAAUCACCCUCCAUGCAAUGGUUCAUCAUAAAGGAUAUGGAGCAAAAUUAGAGGAGGCACGAGAAGGAAAGCCGGUGAUGAACAAGGAUUUGCCUCAACUACAGAGACAGCAUGGAACACGCCCUCCUAGGCUGCCCACAUCCUCAUCUGCAUGGGGGCACAGAAGCCUGGCCAUUCAUCCCAUGGGAGACUCAGGACAUGCUCCCAGCAACCUGAUGGGCUGCCCAAGGCUUGGCUGAUCCUGCAUCCCUGCAUCACAUCUCAGCUUCUCCCUCUGCCCAAAUCUACUUCCUCCCCAUUCCUUUCACAGGCAUUGAUUCCCUGAUAAACACCUUGCACCCCAUA